rnacentral:rRNA from 1 species
UUUCAGCGCCCGGGUAUUACGAGCUCAAGCUUAAAACCCAAAGGACUUGACGGUGUCCCACCCACCUAGAGGAGCCUGUUCUAUAAUCGAUACUCCCCGCUUCACCUCACCAUUUUUAGCCUCUCAGCCUGUAUACCUCCGUCGCAAGCUUACCAUGUGAACGCUUAGUAAGCCCAAAGGUCCUCUCACCAACACGUCAGGUCAAGGUGCAGCUCAUGAAAUGGGAAGCAAUGGGCUACAAUUUCUAAUGCAGAACAAACGAAGGACUAUAUGAAACACAGUCACGAAGGCGGAUUUAGUAGUAAAAAGAAAAUAGUGUGUUCUUUUUAAUUAGGCACUGGGACGCGUACACACCGCCCGUCACCCU